UGUGCAUUACGUGAUUGCUCUGCUGGUACGGUAGAUCUCAGACCUCCUGACAGACACAGAGCCCCACAGAAUUAAAUCAUGAGU